GAGGGAUUGACUGGUCUUUAUCGAUUCGAUUGGUGGUAUUGCAUCGCCGUUGAGUGAUCCGUCUGGUUGAUUCCAAUGAUGAAUGAGACUUCAGCUUGCUGACUCGUACGUUGACGUAUGUGGUUCUUCAAAGGCGUGUACGAUAUUUAUUACGCCCGGAUCCCGAUCGGUUUUCUCACGCAUUUCUUAGAGCAGCUGUGAUACAAAAUCGUACGAAGCAGGGAACUGAUCUGUGAUCUUCUUAUACAGGAGAAUCACAGAAACGGAAAUUGAUCUGUGAAUCGCGCUAUACAGGAGUUUUCAUCAAGUAUUUCCUCCUGGCUCAAGAGAGCCGAGAAAUCCUACAGCUACCUCUCAUAAUAAGAGCUUAGCCUCUAAUCAACUCCAUGAACAAAGAAAAUACCUGCUAGGCGCAUAUUUACACCUCCCUGCGCUUUGUAAACACCAAAUGUCGCCACUACCAAAUGAAUGGUUUGUUGAAAGCCUCAGAAAUGCCUGACGACGUUGUUAGUCGUUCGUGUCGUCUUCGGCUUGGCGGGAGGUACCUGGAGAAAAUGACUGAAUCCAAAUAGUUUAGAGGAAGUAAAUGCC